AUUGAACGCUGGCGGCAGGCCUAACACAUGCAAGUCGAGCGGAGCGGCGGACGGGUGAGUAAUGCCUAGGAAUCUGCCUGGUAGUGGGGGAUAACGUCCGGAAACGGGCGCUAAUACCGCAUACUAUCAGAUGUGCCCAGAUGGGAUUAGCUAGUAGGUGAGGUAACGGCUCACCUGGGCGACGAUCCCUAGCUGGUCUGAGAGGAUGACCAGCCACACUGGAACGGAGACACGGUCCAGACUCCUAGGGGGGGAAGCAGGGGGGAAUAUUCGACAAUGGGCGCAAGCCUGAUGCAGCCAUGCCGCUGGGUGGAGGAGGGCCUUCGGGUGUUAAAGUACGUUCAGCGGGGAGGCGUUACCCGCAGAAGAAGCACCGGCUAACUCCGUGCCAGCAGCCGCGGUAAUUC
rnacentral:rRNA from 1 species